GGAAAAAUCAGACAGAAGUAAAACAAAAGAUGUUUACUGAAUUCAAUGCAACAGAUUAUAACAAGUAUAUUAUAGUUCAUACUCAACAAACACAUCUAAGAUAAACUGAAGCUAUGGCAUGCAUAUGUGGAUGAAAUUCUAUGUCACAAACUUAAAUCUACUAAUGCAGUUUUAAGAAUUGUUCAUAUCCAAGAAGAAAUUGUUUGUCAUCCGUUUUCUCUGUAAUCUUCACAAUGGGACUUUGGACAGACAGAUCCACUUUAGUAUACAACAUACAAAGAAACUAAUAGAAAACUUUGCAUCUGCUAAGGUCAUAUUUGAUAUAUAAACUCUAAACUCUUAACCCCAUAGGAAGGGAAAAGCAAAAGGAAUAAGUGGAAAAUUGUUCUUUCCAAUUGAUGCGUUGUGUAUUUCCUUUAUGCUGUUAUGCAUGAAUACCUUUGUACACGUAAUAUAGAGAAAAAUGAAGCACAAGAAGUACCCCCUUUACAAGCUAUAGAAUGGAAAGCCCAAACUACAUCAAAUUUUACAGCAUAGAGGCCGAAAAUGCAACAACAGGCAUGCACAUACGAGUGAAAUGCAACAUCUGAAUAUGCCAAUAACACUUUGUAUAAACUAAAAGCAACGCAUCUAUCUAAAUCUAAUAGCAUAUUUAGUCAUGACUUACAGCAAGCACCAAAACACAUCAUGAAUUGCCCAAAACUCAAAACCCGGUAGCUAAAAGUGGGAACAGGUAAGCAGUUCCACUUAAAUUCAAUCUAGUUACAUGAAAGUGAAACACAACUGUAAACGGAAACACUUCUAGCAUAGGUACUAAAAACAAGAUAAGACACGGAAACAAAUCCACCAUUCCUUCUUUGUUCUUACUGAACUAAGCAAAUCACAUGGAAACAAUGAAAAACACAAA